AUACCGCCCUCACCUCCCUGCUUCUUCCUCGCCACGUCCACCGCGAGAAGGCGCGGAACCGCUUGCCAAGUCGCCCGCACACAUCCCUAUCGAUACACGUACGCCAGACAAUCACGGCACGCACGAGAAGCGGACCCCCUAACGUGAGGUCGCACACGCGCGCUCGCGACGACGGCGAACCUGCUCCCUUUUCUGUGGAGCUGAGAGAGCCGAGACGGCUGCUUCUCUCUCUCCCCGCUGUCCGCGGCUCUCAGGUCGAGCCGCGCCACUCUCUCGAAGCGCACACGCGCACACACCACCACAAAAUAGAUCGAUAAUUGUAUAGAUCGUCGACCCCACGAGUGGAGAACGGACCGUCUCACUCUUUGUUUAUACUUGUUCUUGUGCCGACGUUUUUUUUAUCGGUGUUCAGGCCACAUGCAGCCGGCCACGGAACGACGUCUUCUCGUAUACCAGUGCGGGGCUCGCUCCGUGGUGAAUGUGCGUGAUACCCGGAGAUGCUCCCGCCGUUCACCUUCCCGCGUACCUCCAUCCGAGUCGCCGGCACCGUUUCAAGGGAGCCGGCCGCGCGAAGCGGCAGGUAUCGUGGGCAGCACCACCACCGAUGCCGAUGAGCGGAGCGCGCUGGGGUCGCCGUGGAGCUCACUCACCGUGAACACGGUAACGGUGCCGGAGGGUGAGUGGUGCGGUGACGCGACGCUGUUCCACACGGCUCUCUCACCUUCGCCUCGAGUGCCUCCGCCUCCGCCGCGUGCUGGAUGUGCGGAUCAUGAUGUCGGCGAUGCAUCCGGCAUGCCGAAAAACGCUGGCGGUCAGGCACUGUCGAGGCAAAGCGCCCACCACAGUCUGCAAGGGGUGAGCCCGAGCCCGUUUGCAGAUGACCUAAACAGCCACGGCGACUCGGCCGCAGUUCCAGACAGUGACUACCACUCGUCAUGGUUUGCAGAGUGGCCACCGGCUGCCGCGGCGGCGUCCUCAAGUCCUGCGCUGUUGUUGUGUAACCAUGGAGGUGCCGAGGCAUUGGUGCUCUGUGCGGCAGCUAGUGGCGUACCUCGCCAGUGGACGUCCGGCGCUGCGGUGGGCAAUCAGGAGGCUAUGCACGCGGUCACUCAGCCGCCGCUAAAGCUGGCAAGCACUUUCCAGGCAGGCGAAGUGGACGCUGUGUGUUGCACGGACGCACCCCAACGCGCAAGUGAAGAGCGCCGUGGCGCCGUUUCGGCGCUGCAUGCGUGUAGCAGAGCAAGGCCGCCGCCGCACGUGUUCACGUCCAACACCGGUAGCGGGGUCACCCCCGUUGCUGCCGCGGGUGCGGAGCGCGUGCUCUUCGACGACGACGACGACUUUACGGACAUAUCCACUGCCUCGGCCCGCUGCCGCACCCUUCAGCCUGGGCCGGAGGCAGCGCCUGCCGCACACUGCGCGGCAGUGGAUGCAGUGGCGCACACGCCUCCUCGUCAUCGCGACAUACGAGCGAGUCCUCUGCUCGCUCCUAAUCGCGGCGGCACCGGUGGAUGUGAGAGCACCGACUGCAGCUCCAGUGGGCACUUUGCCGUUCACUACGCCGCAACCUCUGUGUCUUCUUGCGCGACCCCUAACGCGUCUGUGCUCUCUGUGGUGGCCGCUGUGGGUGCCAGCGGGGAGUCGCUUGACGCAGUGGUGCCGAGGGGCUGCGGGCCUGCCAAGGAGGGCCUCACAACGCAGGUCAUUGAGGACAGCGCCGAGAACUCGCCUGCAGCGGCGAAGGCUGCCCAGAUGGAAGGCACGCCGUAUGCCCCCACGACUUCCGCGGGGACGAACGGCAGCCUCUCUGCUUUCAAAACGCCCAUGACCUCACCGCUUCGCCAAGGGCUUUUCCUUCGCCUGCUCAGCACCCACGCCGCCACAGCCACGCACACGCCGACAGCGCGCCCGUGUUCAUCGGGCGUAUUGCCCCCGAAUGCUGGCUCGCUGGCCACUCCCACGCCGCUGCAUCGGGCGCACAGGUGGAGGGGCGGCAACGCAACCCCAGGCUGGGAGAGCCUGGCGGAGAUUACGGGCUUUCCUACGCCGGUGAAACUGUCACCCAUACCCACGAAAGGGUAUUCGGCGUACCCCGAGCUUGUGGCCACCGCCGCCGCUGCGGCAGGAGCGCCCACCCUGACCUCCACGCCUCGUGCGUCCGGCUCGCCGUCCCCUGUAGUGUCUGCAGUGCAGGGCGACGCUCAUGAAUGCGAUGAUGGCAAACUCGACGCGGCGACGCCGGCUGCGAUGGCGAAUGCCUUUGGGGCAGCAGAGGACGCUCGCGCAUCGAGGAGCCAGACGGCCGGGGUAUCUUUCUCUGAAGGUGGCGGUGUGCCGCCGCUCUCCGAUGGCAACAUUGCCGACUACCUGAGCAGCGCCCACAGCAUCAGCACCAUCGGCUCCGAGUGCUCUGUGUCACCGAUUCGCGUGCGGGCCCGCCAGACAACGCGCGUGUGGACGCCGCACCCGAGCGAGGUGUCGCAGCAGCAGCAUCCAACGCCGCCGCCGUCAUCCAUUGAGGACCAAUCUUCGCGCUUCCUCAGCGACUUCCCUUCGAGCGCUGCUGUGCAGCCGCCGCCACCGCAGCGACAGCAACCGAGCGUCUUGCGCGCCUCCCCUAUCUUUGGCGCUGUCCAUGUCUUUCCAUGUGAUCACGCCCUCUCCGCUCACAAAAGCCCACCUCGCACAGCGCUGCAUCCCGAACGAGCCGCUGAAGAGGUGUCCGAGGACUUGACAGCGAUGUCGUUGGUGGUCACGGAGAUGCAGGCGCAGCCAUCGCACCAGCAGCCCCAGAAGCUGUUCCGCCCCGAUGCGGCGACGGGUGACCUUGCACUGUUGCACAGGUCUGCUGAUCACUCUGCAGGUGGGUGGGCCACCCCCCGUUGUGUCGCCGACACGCUGAACCUCGGUACCCCGACAGUGUCCAUGAUUCAGUCACCAGCGCAGGCGCUGGGCGAGAGCUGCUGCUCUCUCUUCAUGCUUCCAGCCACGCAGUACAUUCACACUCUGCCCAUUCGCGGACUUCAGCGGCGGAACCCGCCCGUCGCACACGCCGCGCAGCACGCAGGCCUCGCUGUGGAAGGCGUGGGUGGCGAGAGCGGGCGCAUCGCCUUCGCCAAUGAGGCACGCCACAACCGCAGACGCCAGACGCAGCACCCCGCGUUGAUGUCACCCGCACUCAGCGAUGGUGAGGAGGAAAACUGCACACCGUGCUCCACAGUGGCGUUGUGUUUGGCCAAGCCACCGCCUCCGCGUGUGCAGGCGUCGCCGCUGGUGUCCUUGGAUGCCAGCCAGUCGUUGGAGGCGGAGCAGCCCCUGUUCUCAAAGCCAGAGAAGGCCCAGUGCGAUGCAAGCGUACAGUGGGGAACUUCGUUCACUACGUUCUUGUGGUCUCGCGCAGUCCACCAGGAGCCACGUCGGCUUGAUUGCAGCGCCCGGCGAGCGCCACGGUGUGCCUCGUCGUUCGCGCGCCAGCUGCAGCGGUCUUCGUCCUCAAAGGGUUCCGCCACACCACCACAGGCAUACCAGCGACCGCACCUCGGACUGUCGUCCACCAACGACACGUUGCGCAGCGUGGAGGUGUCGUACGUGCGGUACCGUCCCACUUUCACAGCCACUUCAAACUCCGCCACCCGCUUUAUUGACUCCUGGCUCUGACACGGGUUGGGAGGAGACGGGGGAGAGGCCGAUGAGAUGCGGCCGAAAGAAGGAGCGAUGGUGCGGAGCGCUCUGUCGACAGAAACUCGUGACGUGCGAGUGCGAAAGGGGGUGGGGUGGGCGGGAGUGAAGUAGAGGCUGCGGCUUGUGGCUGUGCACGGACAGCUGUACCCAACGCCGCUCUCCAUACACCACCGCCUCGGCAACGACGCUUUUUUUGUCUCUGCCGUGUUUCUCUCUCUCGAGCUUAUAGAUGCACACCUCUGCCUGUGCUAUGGUAGAGUGGCCUACGCUUCGUCUUUUCGUUUUCUUUUUUUUUCGUUCCGCCCUCUCUUCGGCUCUCUGAGACACGCGAGUCUCGUCAAGGGAUGGGCCUCUUCUUGUGCCGCUGAGCGUAGCUGUAGCGUGCUAGUGUGCAGAUUGGGCAGCAGCAAAGAAGCGAUUAGGCGAAUCCGUGUCUCGCGCACAGCUGCAUUACCUCACAGAUGCGUGGCUAGGCCGUCCGAGGUGGGGCAAAGCCAGAGUCAUGAAAGGACAAUGACGAAGGAAUCGCCGUCGAUGCAUCACGGCCAACGAAGAACACCACACGCAGCAUUCUGCCCAUUCCUGGCCGCGCUGUACCUUUUGUUGUUUUUGGUUUGUUUGUCGCCUUACCGCUUCCGCAGUGCUUGCACAAUCUCCGUUGAACCAAUGCCACUGCGCAGUGGAUCUAAGACGCUAUCGUGACCGUUGGCGUGGCCCUCCGCUGACCCCUUUGCUUUGCUUUUCGGUGUGGUAGUGGUGCCUUGCGGCGAUGCGCAGGCAUGCGCACGCAGCAGCCUUCCUUCAAGCCUCUUUCGUCCACCUCUUUCGUUCAUAUCAGCUUUUUUCGUCCACACGCACGCACGCCCACGCCCUCUCCCCCGCUCUCUCUCCGAUUGCCCUUUUACGCUUUUUUUGCAUGCCCCCCCCUCCUCCCUGCGAG
rnacentral:misc_RNA from 1 species